rnacentral:misc_RNA from 1 species
UACCAGCUGAUAUGGUGGUGAAUGGUAUUAUCGUAGCCAUGGCUGCACGUAGGAAGCAAUCUUCAGAAACCAUUUAUCAUUUAGGAUCUUCAUUGAGAAACCCUGUGAAAUUAUCAAAUAUUCAUGAUUUUAGCUUUCGUUAUUUCUCUGCAAAUCCAUGGAUUAACAAGGAUGGAAUGCCAGUCAAGAUUCCCAAAGGCACCGUCUUUUGCUCCAUGGCCAGCUUCCAUAUGUACAUGGCAAUUCGUUUUCAGCUGCCAUUGAAGGCAUUGCAAGUUGCAAACACUAUGGUGUUCCAGAAAUAUCAGGGCACGUAUGCAACUCUUGAUAGGAAAAUAAAACUAGUGAUGAGAUUGAUAGAACUUUAUAAGCCUUAUGUGUUCUUUGAGGGCAUCUUCGAUGACAUGAACUCAGAGAAGUUGAGAGUAGCUGCAAAAGAGAAAGUUCCUGAAGAAGCAGAUGGCUUCAACUUUGAUCCCACAGGGAUUGACUGGGACGAUUACAUGAUGGGUGUUCACAUUCCAGGUCUUGUUAAAUACGUAUUGCUUUGUAUCACUGGUAUUGCUUCCCUAAGAUUGUGCUUUAAGAGUUAAAUACUCCCUAAUAGUUAAUUAUGGUGAAAUUCAUAUAGUAAUUAAUGAUUAAAAUUAAAUUAUUCAAUAAAUUGCAUUUUAAAAUUUCUCCAUUUUAGUUGCAGACAAUGUCUCCUAAAGAAUUCAUUUAGAAUGAAUUCUACAAAACCAAACAGGGUGUUCAUGUCCCCAACACAAGGCCUUACUGAUUAUUGAGAUAAAUAUUCAGUUGCAGGAAAAACAUACAUAGACUAAUAGUUUAUUAUGGAUUCAAGAUAUAAAUAUGUAAUUCUCAAUUAUUUAAUAUAUGAGUUUCACUAUGCAUAAUGCGCCUUGAACCAUGAUAAACUAGGUUUAGGUAAAAAUUUUUCCUGAUUUACACGCAUUACAAUAAUAGAAUUAAAAGUGGCUCAAGGGACAAUUGCAAAAAAUCCCCA